ensembl:Mt_tRNA
UUGAGAGAGAGACAUAGAGGUUAUGAUGUUGGCUUGAAACCAAUAGUAGGGGGUUCGAUUCCUUCCUUUCUUA